AGAAAGAAGCAAUUUAGGGCACAGUUCAGCUGAGCUGCUUUAGAUCUCUCCUGAGGGAAGAGGAGCAUCCCCCUCCUAUGUGCUUUCUAUCAGCUGCAAGAGAGGUUAGGGUGAAAGGCAAAGUUCUCAGGGCUUUGUAGACAAAUUUAUGUGUGUGGGACUCCCUUCCUACAUGAGGAGCUCUAGUAGCUCUCAUUAGAAGCCUAAGACCUGCAGUCCUCUGAAGGUCUGCAUUCAAGCUCAGAAGAGGAAAAGCAUUCAUCUGGCAAGACAAAUGGGGGGGUAAGCGUUUCCAUUUGCAGUGCAGUUGUGAAGAGCGAGCGGAGCUGUGCAGAACCAGACCAUCAAGUGUGAAAUGUAUUUCCUAAUUAAAGCACUGCAAGGCCAUCAGAGCCCCUGAAAAAUUAGAGUGGAAAGUGAUCCAGCAGCAAAGGAAGCCUUUUGGACAGAUCCUCUGAUGUAGCCGGCCAUGUCACUGCACCAAUGUUCACGCCAGCCCAAUGGAGGUCAACGUAAAGCUAGCACAAGCAGACAAGAAAGGGAGAAGUACCUCUGCUUAUCCUGUUGCAAUCUGAACCAACUUCAGGUGGGGCUGCCCCAGUCCUGCUUUCCAGGCCUCACAUGAUAUGAUGGUGAGUCAGUCUGGGGAGCUACACUGGUCAAAAGCUAUUUUCUUGUUAGCCAGAUCAGCUCCUUGAGGAACAGGAGCUGAGGGAGGGGAAGCAGCUGCUUUGGCAGCAGCUAAAGGGGGGCCUUUGGCUGUAAUAAACUGCUCCCAGAAUAUCUACUCACAGUAUUUUCUUCACCUGAGGCCUCAAAAUGCUUCUGUCAAGUGCUGGUCAGCUUCAUUUUAUGGACCCAGAAAGGAGACCAAAAAGGGAAUUCAAGGUUAGCAUUUGAAAUUGUUGCAGAGAACAGAGCAAAGUCACAGUUUACGAGAUCUUAAGGGGGAGUGCGCCAAGCUCAUAUUAUGAAUCUCAUGAUCCAAAGCAAUAUCAAGGCUUGCUCCUCCCUGAAAAGAUCAUGUCUGGAAAAGCAUGUGUAAGCAAAUACAAAAUUUAGAUGUACAAGCAACUGCAUGCCUGUGAUAGCAGCUCUGCUAAUGCUAUCACAACAGCUAUAAAAUCCCCCUGGUGCCAGGGUCCUGGGGGCAUCUGUUGAUGCCUAGAUAGGCAUUGCCUAAGGAAAUCCAGUUCCUGAUUGCCAAAAGACUUAAGGUAGCAGCUUUUCUUCUUUUGUGGGGUUGUUAAACUCAGCUGCUGGCAUUUCUUAUGGGGUGGGCAAGGCCCGGGAUGCAGAUGGCACAGCAAUCCUCUGACCAGCAGCUUGCCAUGAUCCUCUGUGCAGCGUCCAGGUCCAGAAAUCAGAUUUCAUGCCUGCCUGGCACGGUGGCCUUAUGCAAAUGCCUUCCACUCGCUGCUUUGCUUCAUUCAUCUGCAGAGUGGAAGGGUGUGAUAAUCCCCGACGAUCUCCCUGCAGUUGAAUGGAUGUCUGUAUAAAGCAGCUCUUGAGAAGCUUUCUGAGCACGGAGUGAAUUUCUGCUGUUAUAAAAAGAAAGCGUUUCAUUCUGUUGUUAUAUGAGUCACUGGAGGAACUCGUCGUAGGUCUGUCGGAGUACUCGAGAAGCACGGGUCCGUAGCUGCUGGAUGGGAGGCACUAACACAGAGUGACUCAUUGCUCCCCUCGGGGACGAGAAGAGGUUUUUGCAGUCAGAUGGAAAUUGUAUUUUAUAUGCAGAUAGAAUUCCUCACCGUGGAGAAAUCCAAAACAGCUCACAAACACUGACUCCAGUGUGUAAAAGAUGUACUGAGCUCUGCAGAUGCUGUUACAUACCUGUGAUGAGGCCAGGAAGGGAUUUGGGAGAAAGGGCAUGAAAGCCUAAUGGAAAUGAGCUUCUGAAAGGCUAAGAGAAAGGAGGGGAGAGGGUGGGGGGACGGUGGCAUUGAAAAAUGUUUUCCCUUAGAUAGAUAAAUUUAGAUGCAUAGAUUUCCCAUGACACACAGCACACCUGAUGGAUCCUGCUAUUUUUCUGUCCUUGGGUCAUGGAGCAAGACCAAGGCUCAGCAUGCAACAUCCUCGGGGGAUGCUGUGUCCUCAAAUCCAGUCAGGCUGUGAGUUUGCUACAGCCCCCGAGUGCAGGGGCUGACUUCUCCGAUCGCGUGGAGUUAUUUCCUAGCCUUGGAAAUCCCUGACUCAACAUGCAGUGCUGGCAGCCCUCUGAACAAAGACUGGGCCUUGGGCUUAAGAGUCUCCAUCAGCUGAGGCCUGCAGGUUUGGCUGGAGAUGUCUGUGUGCAGCUUCCCCCUCUCUCAAGCGUGCCAGCAAGUGCCUGUGUCUCUGUCUGGUUCCCCAACAGUCGCUCUCUUUCAUUGCUUCUUACAAUAAUGCCAUGGCCUUUCAAGUUUUCCAUUUUCAAGCAAAACCAGCUGGACAAAAUCAGCUUUGGUUAUUUUGCUUCCUCCUCCCCGGGUGAGGAGCAGGGCUAGCAGGCCUGGCACUGUCCCCUGGCAGCCCUCGAGUGUUUGCUCAGAGGUGGGCUGUCUGCAGCCAGGCUCCUCUCUCUGUUUUUCCCUCUUGCCCUGUUGAAUACAGGGUCUUAACCCAAACAGCAAGCAUCCCAAGCAGUAGCUCAGUAUUUGUGAGUCAUAUCAGAGGUGUGUCUGAUUUCCUGGCAGAAGUAUGUCAAACAGCUGCCGCUGGCAUCUAGCCAGCCGGUCUGAAGGGAGAUUACAGAGCAUAACCUUCAGGAAAAAUCGCUUUGGUGACUGGUCUCCGAUCUCUGGGGUUAAAAAUAAAAUAAAUUAGCGCUGCCUCUGUAAAAGCAGGGUGAAUCCAAACAAGAGGGGGGUGUUACCUGUUGGUCUGCUGACAGAACAGGCAGAAUAACUAAGCUGUCAGAACCCACUAUCCCAGGAAAAUGUUGCAACAGCUCCUUUACUGUGUUUUCAGUCUAGUAGGAUCCCAUCAGGCUGAAGAUUUGCCUUUAAAAAGUCAGUGUCCCAGCCUUGAAUGGCAACUGAAAACAUCCUUCCCCGCUGCCUCUUGGAAAGCAUAACAAGUCAUCUCCUUUCCCACCUGGCUGCUUGUUGGAGAGAGCUGGGAUGGUGCCUUUCCCCCAGGGCUGAGGGCAAAUGCAUGCACUGAGUGCCAUAAAGCACAUGUUUAUUUUGUAUUUCUCAGGAGGCAAGCAAAAAUGGGGUGAGAAUGAUCCCCAGACCAUGUAGUGAACUGUAAAUAGGAAAAUCGGGGGAGAAAGGACAAAGGAAUUCACAGCAUUUGGGGAUAAUACCUUUCCUUAACGCAUUUGGGAUCUGAGCCAGGCUCUACUGAAAUCAAUUGAAAAAACACCUGCUGGCUUCUGUGAGCUGAGCAUAAGAUUUCUAGUAAUGAACCUUGCUUAUCACUCACCUGGAGUGCUGCAGUUGGGCUGGUGGAGACGUGCCCUCGGCCCCAAAAUGCCUGCAUGUGUACAGCCGGGCAGGGGGGCUGUGACAGUGCAAGGGCUGGAAGUGGCAUCUUCACCUGCCACCCGCUCCAGUUUGGCAAGGAGGCCUCCAGCUUUAAUAAGGCGGGGGAUCAAAGCCUUUGUUUAAAUCCUGCUGUUGGGAGAAAGGCGACGCUGCUCUCCCAAAAAGCAUAGCAGAGCCUCGUGUGGCUGCCCCAAAUCCUGCUUCUCUCAGCUGCAAAUUCCUGCCCCCCUGAUUUUCUCCCUCCAGCCUGAGGCAGGAGAGCAACUGAUGCUGCAGAGCGAGAAAUCUUUCCGAGCAGACAUUUUAUUUUCCUGUAAACCAGAAAUUUAACACACACACACACAUGAGUGAUCUGGGGCCAUUUUUUUUCCUUCAACCCUCGAAACAUUAU